rnacentral:rRNA from 1 species
CAGUCGCCACGGUAAUACGUAGGGUGCGAGCGUUAAUCGGAAUUACUGGGCGUAAAGCGGGCGCAGACGGUUACUUAAGCAGGAUGUGAAAUCCCCGGGCUCAACCUGGGAACUGCGUUCUGAACUGGGUGACUAGAGUGUGUCAGAGGGAGGUAGAAUUCCACGUGUAGCAGUGAAAUGCGUAGAGAUGUGGAGGAAUACCGAUGGCGAAGGCAGCCUCCUGGGAUAACACUGACGUUCAUGCCCGAAAGCGUGGGUUGCAAACAGGAUUAGAUACCCCGGUAGUCCCUGUCUCUUAUAC